UACGGAGGGGGCUAGCGUUGUUCGGAAUUACUGGGCGUAAAGCGCACGUAGGCGGCUUUGUAAGUUAGAGGUGAAAGCCCGGGGCUCAACUCCGGAAUUGCCUUUAAGACUGCAUCGCUAGAAUUGUGGAGAGGUAAGUGGAAUUCCGAGUGUAGAGGUGAAAUUCGUAGAUAUUCGGAAGAACACCAGUGGCGAAGGCGGCUCACUGGCUCGUAACUGACGCUCAUGCACGACAGCGUGGGGAUCAAACAGG
rnacentral:rRNA from 1 species